GACAAGUUGUUUGGUGCCCUAUGUAUUUAACUCGAUUUUGUGUUCUUAAAGAAACUGAAAGCAUUUGAUGCCGUCGUUCUCCGCCGCAGCUGCCGACCUCGCCACCUCCGGGUCCGACCUCCACCAUCCUCCGCCGCCGCCGUCUUCUCCUCGGCGGCAAAUGCUUCGUCCUGGAGACUUUCGCUGCUUCGUUCCGUCUCCUUCCAUCGGUCUUCCCAGUGGAUGGUGUUUCAUGCGCUGCACAGAAGGUGUUUGACAAAAUGACCAACGCCAAGUCGUCACAGCUAACCACGGUGUUGUGCCGUCGUGGUGUGCUGAUUCGUCCCGGAUGCAGCCACAGUACUGGCAGAGGAAGACGCUGCGGCCUGCUACAGGGAGUGGAGGCUGCUUCCUUGAUGCUCACGAGUUACUCGAUGAAAGGCACAGGCGAGAGGAACCGCGGUCAACCACAUGUUUCGUCAGCACGAAUUUGGUGCCAGCCUUGAUGAUGCCGUGCAUAUCCUUCAGCCAACCAUCUCCUGGUUAUGACAUUCUUCCUGAGGGGAUGAUCCAUUGGGAAUAUACCUAGGUACGACAAGCAUGCCCUG